CAUUAUCAAGAACGAAAGUUAGAGGUUCGAAGGCGAUCAGAUACCGCCCUAGUUCUAACCAUAAACGAUGCCAGCCAGCGAUCCGGCUGUGUUCCUCAAAUGACACGCCGGGCAGCUUCCGGGAAACCAAAGCUUUUGGGUUCCGGGGGAAGUAUGGUUGCAAAGCUGAAACUUAAAGGAAUUGACGGAAGGGCACCACCAGGAAUGGAGCCUGCGGCUUAAUUUGACUCAACACGGGAAAACUUACCCGGCCCGGACACAGGAAGGAUUGACAGAUUAAGAGCUCUUUCUUGAUUCUGUGGGUGGUGGUGCAUGGCCGUUCUUAGUUGGUGGAGCGAUUUGUCUGGUUAAUUCCGAUAACGAACGAGACUCUAGCCUACUAAAUAGACGUUCCGAUCAUCUCCGUCGGACGUUCUUCUUAGAGGGACAAGCGGCGUUUAGCCGCACGAGACAGAGCAAUAACAGGUCUGUGAUGCCCUUAGAUGUCCGGGGCCGCACGCGCGCUACAUUGAAGGAAUCAGCGUGUGCUUUCCCUGUCCGACAGGACUGGGUAACCCGUUGAACCUCCUUCGUGCUGGGGAUAGGGGCUUGUAAUUGUUCCCCUUGAACGAGGAAUUCCCAGUAAGCACGAGUCAUAAGCUCGUGUUGAUUACGUCCCUGCCCUUUGUACACACCGCCCGUCGCUACUACCGAUUGAAUGAUUUAGUGAGGUCUUCGGACUGGCGCUCGGAGCGGCCCUCGGGUCGCGCCGGCGUGCCGGAAAGAUGACCAAACUUGAUCAUUUAGAGGAAGUAAAAGUCGUAACAAGGUUUCC
rnacentral:rRNA from 1 species